rnacentral:rRNA from 1 species
UACGGAGGGUGCGAGCGUUGUUCGGAAUUAUUGGGCGUAAAGCGCGUGUAGGCGGUUUUGUAAGUCUGAUGUGAAAGCCCCGGGCUCAACCUGGGAAGUGCAUUGGAUACUGCAAGACUUGAGUACGGGAGAGGGCAGUGGAAUUCCCAGUGUAGGAGUGAAAUCCGUAGAUAUUGGGAGGAACACCGGUGGCGAAGGCGGCUGCCUGGACCGAUACUGACGCUGAGGAGCGAAAGCGUGGGGAGCGAACAGG